UGCGGGGUAGAGCAGCCUGGUAGCUCGUCGGGCUCAUAACCCGGAGGUCGUUGGUUCGAAUCCAGCCCCCGCUA
rnacentral:tRNA from 1 species